UACCUAGGCCUAACUAUAGAUAAAAACAUAAAUAGGAAAAUACACAUAGAUGUAAUAUGUAAUAGACUAAGGUCUAUACAGUGUAAAGUUAUUACUUGUAAAAAUAUAGUUUAUAAUAAAAUAUUACGAAUAUUAUACCAUGCACUGGCUGACGCUGUAAUUGGAUACGGCUUGAUAGCUUAUGGACGCACCUUUAAAACUUAUUUGGACAAAAUAUUAGACUUACAAGUGCGGUUAUUAAAAAAUAUAAUAGAUAAAAAAAACUAAAGCUAACUGUAGUAAAUAUGAUACGGUCUUAUUUAAGAAAUUAAACAUCCUGCCAGUGCAUGAUAAAGUGAAGUACUUAAUAGCAACCGAGCAAUUUAAUAAUCCCGAAUUUAAAAAUACGCGAGGCGCCCUCUAUACUCUGUAUCUUUAGAUUCUUUAGGUAUUUAAAUAAAAGUAAACAAAACCUACCCUCAAAUGGAUUAAGCCAGUUGAGGGUAGAUGAAAACAUUACACGAUCAAAUAAUGUAGGUUAAAGUCAGGUCGUUCCGUGACUGAUCCACGCGGUUUUGUAUUUGGUUGGUUAACCAAUAAAUGUUAUAACAACCCGAAAA